UUUCCGUAGGUGAACCUGCGGAAGGAUCAUUAACAGUGGAUUGGGGGGCGUAUAGCCACUGUAUCAUUCCUCGGCGACCCGAGAGUGUUAUCCUUGGGCACCGCCAUAGAAUAGUCUCUACCAGAGGGAGAGAAUAGAAACUGCAGCGGAUAAGAAGGGCGUUGAUGACCGGGUUGAAUCUCCAUUGUGCAUUGUGCUUAUUACGUAAUGACACAAGGUAUACAAAGUAAAUAAACAGGUUAUCCGGACCUGUCAACAUUCGUCCGUUUAAAUAGACUGUUGAGAAAUUAAGGCAAUAAAAUAGAUGUACAGGACACAUAGGCUAUGAGAGUCUGAGAGCCUCGCACCCCAGAGCUUUCUGGGGGACGUUGAUCGAAGUGGAUCCCGAGGCUCCUUGCCCGGUACCGCCUUCUAGAGAGCCGGGGACAGCCGACGGCUGGAACCCUAGGUUUGACCGACGCCCCUGGCGUCCCGAUUACCGCAUUCUUCGCCUGCUGGAGUCAAAGGAGUGUGGAUGUUUCUAGGGUACUUGGAGCGGGCAGUCUCUGUCUGUAAGCGGCUCCUUGCCCCACCUCGCAAGCCGGCUUUUGCGGUCGCCUUCGAUCUUUCCGGUCGAUUUGGAAACAGUCAAGGAGCACAGGCCCUUGGUCGGCCGUACUCUGUUCAGAGAGCUUGCGUGCGUUGGGUCCCUGAUCGUUGUAGUGCGUAUACGUUAGCCUGCUUCGCUGGGGUUCGAUCAACAAGGAGUGACAAACCGCACCUAUAGAACAUCUGCAUUAUUAUAAAUCCUGACACCAACCGAUGGUAAGAAGUUCCGUGGAUAAUGCGACGCCAGGAUCACUAAGGCCCUUCUCUAGAAGGAUUAUGAGUGUACUGGGAUGGUAGGGUGCACCUCGGACCCCGCGCUUUCUAGUGCGUGUCCUUUUACCAAAGUGCAAGGCUUCGACAAGCGCCGAACGCUUAAAGUUGCUUGCCAGACACGGGUAUGUAUUAAGUCUGGCGGUAGCUCGACAACUGCGCUAAUUCCGGGUAGGCUACCCACCUGAGCGGCCUAGGUAUCUCGUGCAUCCCUAUGGCGAGUAAGGACGGUCGGUAGCCCCGGAGUGCCCGGGCAGGCUGCGAUCGCGGCGACGAUCGUAGACCUGUAACGGAUAAGCUUCGGCGCUGCCUAAGGAAAAAUCGACGACAAAAUAGGGACUCUCACACAAAUGGUCUCAAGUACUGUCUAUACACUGGCACUUGCUGUAGUUAAACUCUUCUUCUGAGACGGAGGCGCAGCUGGCUAUGCUGACCCCUUUCUCUAAACCCCAACCCUUGAAUAUAAUACCUCUGUUGCCUCGGCGGGUACGCCCGUCAGAGGACGCAAACUAAAUUCUGUACUAAUGGCGUUGUCUGAGCGAAAUAAGCAAUUGUUAAAACUUUCAACAACGGAUCUCUUGGUUCUGGCAUCGAUGAAGAACGCAGCGAAAUGCGAUAAGUAGUGUGAAUUGCAGAAUUUAGUGAAUCAUCGAAUCUUUGAACGCACAUUGCGCCCUUUGGUACCCUGAAGGGCAUGCCUGUUCGAGCGUCAUUAUCACUACUCAAAGCUAGGUCGAGCCUAGCUUGGUGUUGGGGGAUGUCCCGCUCUUGGGCGCGGACUCCCUUUAAAAUUAUUCGGCGGCACGAUGUCGGCUCUGAGCGCAGCAGAAACUUCGCUCUGCAGGCCCCGGCACUGUGUUAGCCUUGAACCUCUCUCUAGGUUGACCUCGGAUCAGGUAGGGAUACCCGCUGAACUUAA
rnacentral:sRNA from 1 species